rnacentral:rRNA from 1 species
UGCGUAGGCGGAAUGAUAAGUUAGUGGUGAAAGCCUCCGGCUCAACCGGAGAACUGCCAUUAAUACUGUUAUUCUUGAGUAUAGUUGAAGUGGGCGGAAUGUAUCAUGUAGCGGUGAAAUGCUUAGAUGUGAUACAGAACACCGAUAGCGUAGGCAGCUUGCUAAACUAUAACUGACGCUCAGGCACGAAAGCGUGGGGAGCAAACAGGAUUAGAUACCCUGGUAGUCC